rnacentral:rRNA from 1 species
UAAGGAAUAUUGGUCAAUGGACGCAAGUCUGAYCCAGCCAUGCCGSGUGAAGGAUGAAGGUCYUMUGGAUKKUAAACUUCUUUWAUMUGGRACGAAAACGGGAUUUUUAUCUCAAUUGACGGUACCAGAGGAAUAAGCACCGGCUAACUCCGUGCCAGCAGCCGCGGUAAUACGGAGGGUGCGAGCGUUAUCCGGAUUUASUGGGUUUAAAGGGUGCGUAGGUGGGCUUAUAAGUCAGUGGUGAAAUCUCCGAGCUUAACUUGGAAACUGCCGUUGAUACUAUAGGUCUUGAAUUAUCUGGAGGUAAGCGGAAUAUGUCAUGUAGCGGUGAAAUGCUUAGAUAUGACAUAGAACACCAAUUGCGAAGGCAGCUUAYUACAUAUAAAUUGACGGUGAGGCACGAAAGCGUGGGGAUCAAACAGGAUUAGAUACCYUGKUAGUCCACGCCMUAAASUAUGGAUACUCGACAUACGCGAUAUACAGUGUGUGUCUGAGCGAAAGCAUUAAGU